CCAUACGGGUUGAAGCAUGACCGUAAGGACAUGUGGACAGUAUGGGAGUGAGAAUGUUGGCAUGAGUAGCGAGAUGUGGGUGAGAAUCCCACAGGCCGUAAACCCAAGGUUUCCAGGGGAAGGUUCGGCCGCCCUGGGUUAGUCGGGACCUAAGCUGAGGCCGAAAGGCGUAGGUGAUGGACAACAGGUUGAUAUUCCUGUACUACCGAU
rnacentral:rRNA from 1 species